rnacentral:rRNA from 1 species
GACGAACCGUGCGAACGUUAUUCGGAAUCACUGGGCUUAAAGCGCGUGUAGGCGGGUGGGGACGUCGGCAUCUGAAAGCCCCCGGCUCAACCGGGGAAGGGGAUCCGAAACGCCCCGCCUGGAGGGACGUAGGGGGACCUGGAACUUCCGGUGGAGCGGUGAAAUGCGUUGAGAUCGGAAGGAACGCCCGUGGCGAAAGCGAGGUCCUGGACGUCUGCUGACGCUGAGACGCGAAAGCUAGGGGAGCGAAC